GAUGAACGCUGGCGGCGUGCCUAAUACAUGCAAGUCGAGCGAACGGACGAGAAGCUUGCUUCUCUGAUGUUAGCGGCGGACGGGUGAGUAACACGUGGAUAACCUACCUAUAAGACUGGGAUAACUUCGGGAAACCGGAGCUAAUACCGGAUAAUAUUUUGAACCGCAUGGUUCAAAAGUGAAAGACGGUCUUGCUGUCACUUAUAGAUGGAUCCGCGCUGCAUUAGCUAGUUGGUAAGGUAACGGCUUACCAAGGCAACGAUGCAUAGCCGACCUGAGAGGGUGAUCGGCCACACUGGAACUGAGACACGGUCCAGACUCCUACGGGAGGCAGCAGUAGGGAAUCUUCCGCAAUGGGCGAAAGCCUGACGGAGCAACGCCGCGUGAGUGAUGAAGGUCUUCGGAUCGUAAAACUCUGUUAUUAGGGAAGAACAUAUGUGUAAGUAACUGUGCACAUCUUGACGGUACCUAAUCAGAAAGCCACGGCUAACUACGUGCCAGCAGCCGCGGUAAUACGUGGGUGGCAAGCGUUAUCCGGAAUUAUUGGGCGUAAAGCGCGCGUAGGCGGUUUUUUAAGUCUGAUGUGAAAGCCCACGGCUCAACCGUGGAGGGUCAUUGGAAACUGGAAAACUUGAGUGCAGAAGAGGAAAGUGGAAUUCCAUGUGUAGCGGUGAAAUGCGCAGAGAUAUGGAGGAACACCAGUGGCGAAGGCGACUUUCUGGUCUGUAACUGACGCUGAUGUGCGAAAGCGUGGGGAUCAAACAGGAUUAGAUACCCUGGUAGUCCACGCCGUAAACGAUGAGUGCUAAGUGUUAGGGGGUUUCCGCCCCUUAGUGCUGCAGCUAACGCAUUAAGCACUCCGCCUGGGGAGUACGACCGCAAGGUUGAAACUCAAAGGAAUUGACGGGGACCCGCACAAGCGGUGGAGCAUGUGGUUUAAUUCGAAGCAACGCGAAGAACCUUACCAAAUCUUGACAUCCUUUGACAACUCUAGAGAUAGAGCUUUCCCCUUCGGGGGACAAAGUGACAGGUGGUGCAUGGUUGUCGUCAGCUCGUGUCGUGAGAUGUUGGGUUAAGUCCCGCAACGAGCGCAACCCUUAAGCUUAGUUGCCAUCAUUAAGUUGGGCACUCUAAGUUGACUGCCGGUGACAAACCGGAGGAAGGUGGGGAUGACGUCAAAUCAUCAUGCCCCUUAUGAUUUGGGCUACACACGUGCUACAAUGGACAAUACAAAGGGCAGCGAAACCGCGAGGUCAAGCAAAUCCCAUAAAGUUGUUCUCAGUUCGGAUUGUAGUCUGCAACUCGACUACAUGAAGCUGGAAUCGCUAGUAAUCGUAGAUCAGCAUGCUACGGUGAAUACGUUCCCGGGUCU
rnacentral:rRNA from 1 species